GGCAGAGAGAGCCACCCCCACCCCCUCCGGGGGGGGAUGAUGACACAGGUGGAAACUGCAUUAUGGGAUGAUGAUGGGAGCAACAGCCGGGCCUCGGAGCGAAUUCCGGCUGCCUUUGUCUACCGCUUCAAGGACAGGAUUAGACAUUCUUCAGGUAUAGAGGGGGACCGUUCAAGGCUGUAACAGCAACCGCUGUUAGUAAAAACAGACAGAUGUAUCAUCGGAUUUACAGUCACAACAGAAAGAUGCACAACACAAGGCGACUUUCUCCUCCCCCUCCUCACUGUUCACAGUAAGAGUCUUUGUCUCAGGCUCUUCCAAGAUGUUUGAGUUUUGCUCAACUCAACGUUCUGCAGACAUACCACCAAGCCACCUUGACUCUGCACUAACAUAGGUUUUUGACACUGAAUAUGAUAAAAAAAAAAGGUAGCCAAGCCAAGAAAACUGGUUCUGCCCCUGUGGACUGAUAACUAAGCAACACAUCACUUGGUGGGGGACUUUGCUCACCUGAUGAAGCUGGUCAGGGGUCACCUGACAAAGGGGACUGGAGGUUAUAAAAGAAAGGACUCUCACUGGCUAUUCUGUGGAAAGAGCAGAAGGAGAAGCUGGCUACAGAACAGAAAGAGACAUUGUAUGAUUUGGAGGAGAAUUUUCACAGGGACAGCAAAAGACACAUCUCUGACACCAGGGCUACUCCCUUGCCAAAUUUUAAAACCCUGUUCCAAAGCAUGGAGGUGCUAGAGUUUCUCAAUGAAACAGGUGUAAGAAGUUUUUUAGUUUAGGCAAAUGAAGUAUUUUCCCCCAACUUGGAAAUGGCUGAACUAUUUUAGCUGAAACUUUAGGGAAAAAAUCAGCCUGAGGCAGAAACCUGGCAUGAAAAAUUUCAUCCUGAACAGUAAAAAUUAUGCAGUUUUAAGGAACUGAAAAUAGAACCAUCAAAUGGAAACCAUGGACAACUUUAACUAUACCUAUGUCACCUAUAAUAAUGAGAAAAGCAUCAAGCAUGUAACAGCAAUAACAAAAUAAGAAAAUAAAAACUGGUUUAAUCUUUCUAAUGGCUGCAAAUCUUAAACCCAAAAGAUGUACACAUGGCUGGAUCAUACAGCUUUCACUCUAGAAAAUUUUAUGAAAAAUGUACAUAUAUUUAACCAGUAUUACCAGAGGUGAUGAUAAAAACAAAAACAAAACAAAAAAACCCUGACCUUACUCUUACUAAACCUUCUACCAGGAAGAUGUAAUUGCCAUAAAUAAUUUAAAAGGCCUGGAAGUCAGAUAUUUCCAACAUUAUGUAAUUAUUACAAUCCAAGUAAUUUUUUUUAUGCUGAGUAUAUAGUUGCUCUCAGUUGUACAGCUGAUUGUUUUGCCUACAUGUGCGUAUGUAGCUUGUACAGACGUAGGAGUUCCACCCUACUUGUUUGUUUUUCAUUUUUCCUGGAAGCAGGAAUACGUGUUGCCAAAGUUGAAUACAGUAUUUCUAUAUCUGUUUACUUUUCUCCUUGAUGUACAGCUGUUGUUAAACAGGAACUACUGCUUGUCAGUAAUUGGUUAGCUUGUUACAAAUACAUUAAUUAAUUGUUACUACUCCCGCUAACAAAUUCAUGUGAUUCAUUGUGUCAUAUUUCAGAAUUAGGUAAUUAGUUAUCUGGAAAAGCAGCAACAAUCUAAUUUUAUACACAGUGCAAUAGAAAGAGAACCUGAAGAGAACCUGAAGGAAACCCUGCUAAAGACCUGGUUUUACAGUCCUUUCACAAGCAAAAAUGCCUGUAUCAGGACUUUCAAGACUGCCCUAAACAGAGAGUUUCUUCACAUCUCUCCAUCCUCCUGUAAUUACCCCUUGGAACUUCCCAAAUUUUUCUUAACCCAGUGUUCUUUUCUUUGCUAAGGGCUAGAUUGUACCUUUAGGCAUAAUCCUGAGCAAGGGUGAAGCAUAAACUGCACCACCACAAAAGUAGGCAUAAUUUCCUCCUUGUUUUCUCUUGCUUCAGGGCACCUCAUACAAUAUAUGAGAGCAGAUCUGGACCACAUCAGAGAUUUGUAUCCAAGAGCUGCAAUAGUUUCUCUGAUUUGUAUAUGUGUCUGAAUAAUUGUGCUGUCCAGUGUGUUAGGCAGGCAGAGGCAAAGUUCCAUCCACAACAUCUCAUCUACCUGCUUGGGAGGGGAGAGUGGCAUUUGUGCAGCACCCACUUAGCCCUGUGGGCCCAGACCCAAGAUCUAGUGAGCUCACACAGGAUUAUAAGUGGGGGCUCUUACUCUCUCUUACACUGCUUUGCAAAUGUGGAGUCCAAGUUACAAUCUAACCUAAAUGUUGUCUUUGGGAGAGUAAAUUCAUAUAUAUAUAUGCAUAAAUUUGUCUCUGUGUGUGUAUACACACACACACACACACAUAUAUAUUUGCAUUGAUUGACUAUAUAAUCAAUAGCUCUAGAUAAUACUUAGUCCUGCCUUGAGUGCAGGGGACUGGACUAGAUGACCUCUCGAGGUCCCUUCCAGUCCUACACUUCCAUGAUUCUAUGAUCUAUAUAUGCAUUGAUUUAUAUAUAGAGAGAAAUCAAUGCAUUCCUGAAUAUUUAUUACUUAAUUUGAAUAUACUGUUUAUGAUGUUUAACACUUUCACUGACUUUGUCUCUUAUAGUACUAUCCUAACUUUGGCAUUCCUAAUCUCAAAGUUAUUAUGUUACUAACAAAACUGGUUCCAGAACACUGAAUUUACUGGGCAAUAUAAGAUUUCAAUAAUAUGCAUUUUGCAUGUACACUGUUUUGCAUCACAGUACAUCAGUUAUAAAGAAAUUCAUUCUUGAGAUUAAACUAUUAUUUAUUUUCUCCUAUAUCAGGGACACGGAGUGGAUUUAAUAAAUCACAUCAGCACAAAGUUAAUUAUAUUUACACUUGAGUGUCAAUAUUUUUUGUGACUUAGGAAUAGCAAAUCUUGCCCUGUGGUUUCCAUCCAUUUGGAUGAUUGGAGUCCAUAUGUUACACAGAAUGCCAAUUAAUACUGUGUGACACAAUUCAUGCUAGUAACUUGGAUUUAGGAGAUGUCAACAGAUUUUAAGCAUGUACUGAAUAUGACAUAUUUUUGAUGGCACAUUCCAGUUUUUCAUCCUAUAUGAUGUAAAAAUGAAUGGUGUGAGAAAAAAUAUCCUUGUUCUGAAGUUCACUAAGGCAAGUUGCAAAAUAAAAUCAUUGUUUCUCAAAGGGACCCUGCAGACUUCAGAAUGGCCUUUUCUGCAAUCAUGGGACCCUAUACUACACUGCAAUUUUGAGGCAGUCCUGUUCAAGAGUUGCAGAAAGAUGGUAGUUUUCGGGGCUUUUUCCCCUUCAAAAUGAACAUUCUGUUAGUAUACAGGGGAGUUUUCCAUACCAGUUUUGGUGUACAUUUAAUGUAACAUGCAUUCGGUUUUUCUUUUUUCCAGGAGAUAAUUAUAUACUUUUCAGGCAAACAUAAUGAUUUCAUUUUUAAUAAUGAUGUGUUAUUCCAAUAAUACUUCUGUGAUACAGAAUUGUAAUAGCUAUCAAAUAUGUUUUGCUUCCAGAUCUUUCUUCAAAGCCCAGAGUUAGGGAGACUAGCAACCAAAGUCCUGAUGAUCCCAAUCUAGCCCCAGUUCCACCCACUAAUCCUAGUCAUAAAUCUAAAUCUAAAUAUGAUUACUGCAUGUGUAGAGAGUUUGCAGAUGUCAAAUUCAUCUGAGAAUCAAGUUCUGACAGGAAAUGAAAAACAAGAAAAUAACCCUGAAGUGGACUCUAAUAAGACUAAAAUUUGAAUUUUUGAUCUCUUUUCAUUUGAUCCUCUUUAAUGCUUAAUACUGCAUGUCAAGACAGUGUCUCCUAUGUAAAAGAGAAAGUUAGCUGACAGAAAAUGAUAGU